ensembl:lncRNA
AUGUAUGGAAAAAUGUUUUACUUUUCCACAUAGUUUGGCUGGCGCUAGCUACAGGCCCCAAAAAGACUGCAGUUAUUCCGACAGCACAGUUUGUGUUAAGUCCCUCAGGUUUUCCAUUUUUCACAAACGUCAAAUGUCUCAGCUUUGUUUUUCUCUGAGUGAAAUAACACAAUAGAAGGUCAGUUUCAGAUGAUCCAAUACUACAAAACAUAUUUCAGACAUGUCGAGUUCCACAUAACAUUCAUAGAGACUUAUCCGCCGCUGAGCCUUGAUGCUAAGCUAAGCUAAGCGGCUGCUGCAGGUAGCUUCAUAUUUACAUAACAAGCACCAGAGCAGAGUCGAUCUUCUCAUCUGAAUCUUUGUCAAACAGCGAACGGGCAUUUUGUCACCGAUGUGGAAGUAUUGCUUGUAUUAUUCAUAAUAUUUGUUACCAUGACAGCGGCUAUGAGUCAGAUCACACAGAACACAUCUCACACGAGUCUGACAGCUGCUGGUUGCUCAUCACACAAAUCGCUGCUGCAGUGACAUUCUGUGCACCAGAAUAAAAGGUGCAUCGUUUUAACCAAACCAGAGGCGACAGAGAGACAAACAUUCAAAUGUGGUCGGCGUGAGCUUGGUCGCUUUAUAUUUCUUAUACAGAAAAGGAUUUAUUGGUCUGCUGGCAACGUGGCGCUCUCAAUUAAGUCACCUCAACAAUCAAAGCUGUUUUAUUCCCCCCUUUCCUUUCAACUUAACCACAACUCUGAGAACUCUCUCUCUCUCUCUCUCUCUCUUCUGUGUCUAUUCACUCCUACUGGAAAUAAAUCUUUUUUCACAAAUACAUAUUUUCACUUAACCAAGGUCACGCAAUCAUCAAUGCUGGGCACGAUCAACUUUUGAAGAGUAAAUUGUGUUUACUUUUAAGUCUUGUCAAAUCACCUUUAAUGUUACAUAGUUGGAACUUCAGGUUUUAUUCCUCGAUAUUUAGAGCACUUAUGUGGUGCAUUAGCCUUAAUAACUACAUUUAGUAGUACAUUUAGUUAGACUACUUACCUCAGAUAAAUGCUUUGCUACCAGGAAGCGUUUGAUUUAAUUUGAGCUUAUUCUACCUGAAAUCCUUAGAAUGCAAUGUGGGAUAGUUUCAACUUGUCAGUGUGUGCGUGCAGCUCUGUUUAUUAUGUACCAAACCAACGCGCUCUUUUUGUAAGUUGGAGCAACACCUUCUUUGUUCGGAAAAACAACACCCAAAGCUCAUAUGUCACCAGGUGGUCCUGGAAUGGAGAAACAUGAUGAAACUCCCCUUCCGGCUGCCUGUUGCGAUUGUUCUUUUUUUCCACUUUUUACCAUUUCCCCUCAGGUAUUGAUUUUCUAUCCUCUCCGUUGAACUUAUGUGGCCAGCUCGCAGGCCUCUGCUUCUUCCUGCUGCUCCCUGUCGACGCUAUUUCACACAGGGUACCCACAAUAGCUCACACGCACAAAGAUAGCCGUGCAAUUGCAAACACACACAUAGAUGAAUGCUUUUUGUAUGAGCACACAGAAGAUGCACGUGCGCUCGAGAUCAAUACUUCUCUUGGAGGAAUGUAUCAGAGAAUUUAUGCGGCCCGACAAUGAACAGGGAAAUGCUGCACAACUUUAAAUUAGACCAAGCGGGUCCACUUGCAGCAUCUCGAGUGCUCUCGAGGCCGAUGUGACGGAGCCAGAGUGUCUGGCUUUAUUGACAAAAGCAUGGACCCUUUUAUUAACCCUCUCCCUGCGUGCAGCUGAAGCAGCCCACUGUCAAACUAGGACCGCUUCCUGCAUGUAUUUUUAAUUGUGCAUCAAAGCAGCCAACCAAUCAGCUGUUGUAAUAAGACGUGUGGGUGACACCAGAAAAAAAACAAAAGAGGAAUGUUUUUCUUUAUUCAAACCCCUGCUUUCAAUUUCAAGAAUGAACUUGUUUAAAUUAAAGUCCAAUUUGAGAUUGUUGAGCAGUUUUGUCGAGUGAAACCAAACCUUGGUCUCCUCUCCGUUCGCUGUGUGUUGAGUCGGGCUUUGACAGCAGUCUGCCUCGACCUUGAAGACAGUCGCCCCAAAAUAACUCCACCGUGCAGAAAGCCUCUGCUGGCCCGUUGAGCUGCUCCCUGCUGGCACCCAGCAUGUGUCCUCGUGUGUCGUUCUUCGCUAUGUGCACUUGUUAGGGUACGUGUGCUUCUGUCUGCACCUGUCAGGUGUGGAGCAGUAGCAGAUAUACAGGAGAAAUUUAACUCUGUGUGUGUGUGUUACAUACACACAUGGAGGUAUUUGCAUGGGCCUAAGGAGGAUGCUUAUAUUAGUAUUCUCAACCCGAGGGCCGGAAAAUGACCUGUCUCCUGCCAUUAUAUCCUUGGUAACCAGAAGUGACGUAGUAAUUGUGAAAUCUAUUUAAACAAAUUGUUGCCUCUCUCUCUCUCUCUCUCUCCUUAUUCCUCCCCCACGCUUCUCUCUGUUUUCGGGUCAUUACUAGAACUUCCUCUUCACACCUACUUGUCACGGCUCUGUUCUCACUCUGCUCACUGUCUGUUUUUUUUUAAUAGUUUUCUUUUCUCCUUGAGGGUCCUCACUUUUUUGUGUUUUGUAUUGUCUGCUCACGUGCCACUCUUCCUUUCUCCCUCUCUCGGCCUAAGCGUGUUCACACGGAAACACGGCAUCAGAUCAAUCCCGCGAUGCCGCUAAGCUCCAUAACACAGAGCGCUGUCACCGUUUAGCGAGCAAUAACGAUGACGGAUGAGUUCUGCUCACCUUUAUACUUCCCACGUGCGUUGACGUGUAUUUAAAAAUAUAUAUAUUUUUCCCCUCUCUGCCUUCACACACAGUGGCGUCCGUUCCUGCCUGGUCUGAAGUAUGAAGUGAUCGACUCGGCCUACAUCUCCCUGUACACAGGUCAGGACUCUCCUCCCGAUGUGCGGCAUGAAAAGCUCCUUGUCCUCCACAUGAAAUACAUUCCAUGAUUAUUUUUCUAAAAUUGUGUGGUUCACUGCCAAGAUACUCAUAGCACUC